UUUUUUAAGUGUAGAGACAGAGUUUUGCCAUGUUGCCCAGGCUGGUCUUGAACUCCUGAAUUCAGGUGAUCCUUCUGUCUUGGCUUCUCAAAGUGCUGGGAUUAUAGGUGUGAGCCACUGUACCCAGCCCAGAUAAUUUUUUGUUGUGGGAAGCACUUCUCUGCAUUGUAGAAUGUUUAGCAGUAUCUCUGGCCUCUGUCUAUUAAAUGCCAGUAAUAUCUACCACCCAGUUGUAACAACAGAAAAUGUCUCCAGAUAGUGCCAAAUAUCCCCCAAGAAAUAAAAUCACUCCCAGUUAAGAACCACUGCUCUGGCCGGAACAGUGGCUCACACCUGUAAUCCCAGCAAUUUGGGAGGCCGAGGCGGGCGGAUUACUUGAGGUCAGGGGUUCCAGACCAGCCUGGCCAACAAUGGCAAAACUCCAUCUUUGCCGAAAAUACAAAAAUGAGCUGGGCAUGGUGGUGCAAGCCUGUAGUCCCAGCUACUUGGAUGGCUGAGGCAGGAGAAUCACUUGAACCCGGGAGGCAGAAGGUGCAGUGAGCCGGGAUUGUGCCACUGUACUCCAGCCUGGGAGACAGAGAAAGACUCUGUCUCAAAAAAAAGAAGAAAGAAAGAAAGAAAGAACCACUGCCCUAUAGUUUAGUCCUGGACAAUGACGUUCUUCCUCUAAAAUAUGAUAGAACUAAGGAAGCUUCUUUCCUGCUAAGGGUCAGUAAAAGAAAUAAACUGCAGACAGAUAUGAUACUAAUGGUAACACCGUUACUGUUUUAUAUCUGGUACAGCCUAUUCCCACAUACAAAGUGCCUUCUCAGACAGUAUUUUGUCUGACUGUCCUAGGCAAGAGAUCUCACAGAAGGAAGGGUCUACACAGUGCCUGGCAUUUAUUAGAUGAAAUCUUGGUUUCCUUUCAUUGGCUAGAUGAAGCAAUGUAUGUUCAAUGAUGUUAAGUGACUGUCCCAAGGUUACACAGCGAGUAAGUGGGUGUUGUCAUUUGUUAUGUUGAUUCACCUGUUAUUGUUCUCAACUCUAUUACUAUAAUCCUAAGAAGAGUUUCUGCUUUCACUGGAAGGAAUAAGGCAAACUAGAAUAAUCUUAGGAGCCAGGUGUGGUGGCAUGCAUCCCAGCUACUUGGGAGGCUGAGGCAGAAGGAUCGCUUUAGCCCAGGAGUUCUAAUCCACCCUGGACAACAUAGUGAGACUCCCGUCUCUAAAAAACUAAGUAAAUACAAAUUUAAAAAAGAAUCUUAGAAUCUUUGUUUCCUGGAGUCAAGAGGGUUCUAUAGGCGAUCUAGUUCAAUUCCCUACUACAUGGUUCUCAGCCCUACGUUAGGGUUGCCAGAUAAAAUACAGGAUGAUCAGUUAAAUUUGAAUUUCAGAUAAACAAUGAAUACUUUAAAAAUAUAAGUAUUUCCCAUGCAAUCAUCAUGAAUACCAGGUCUCUUGUGGCCCUGGGACUCCCCUGUGGAGAAUGAUGAGUGGGGCUUGAUUGGCCAUGUGAUCAGAAGAGAGAACUGAUAUUCUAAGGGAUUAGGAAGAAGGGGCCUUCUGCUUGGGCUUUUCCACUGUGCCUGGGCAAUCCCUACACCUUAACCCUUACCUGUGGCUUCUAUCACAGGUAGAUAGAAGGAUAGCGAUUUGGCUGCUCUAAAGGAACCCAGGUUGGGCAUGGUGGCUUACACCUGUAAUCCCAGCACUUUGGGAGGCCAAGGCAGCUGGAUCACAAGGUCAGGAGUUCAACACUAGCCUGGCCAACAUGGUGAACCCUCUACUAAAAAUACAAAAAAUUACCCUGGCAUGGUGGUGGGUGCCUGUGAUCCCAGCUACUCGGGAGGCUGAGGUGGGAGAAGCUCUUGAACCUGGGAGGUGGAGGUUGCAGUAAGCCAAUAUUGCGUCACUGCACUCCAGCCUGAGUGAGAGAGAGAGACUCUAUUUAAAAAACAAAAAACAAAAAACAGAAAGAAAAGAAACCCAAAGUAAACAAUCUCAAAUGAAGAUGGAGGCAGAAUGCAGCAGAAAGGAGGAGAGAGGAGAGAUGGGAAAGAUGUUAAGGUGUGGGGCAGAAAUGGCCCCUCAACAUCUGUUCUCCCCCUCUGCUGUGUUAAUGGAACCCCUGAUUUUCAUUUGGGCACAUGGCCACACAGCAUAAAAAGUUUAUUUCGGACCGGGCACCGUGGCUCAUGCCUGUAAUCCCAGCACUUUGGGAGGCCAAGGCAGGUGGAUCACAAGGUCAGGAGUUCGAGACCAGCCUGGCCAACAUAGUGAAACCCAUUUCUACUAAAAAUACAAAAAUUAGCCAGGCAUGGUGGCACAUACCUGUAGUCCAAGGAGGCUGAGGCAGGAGAAUCACUUGAACCUAGAAGGCGGAGGUUGUGGUGAGCCGAGAUUGCACCACUGCACUCUAGCCUAGGCCACAGAGCGAGACUCCAUCUCACCAAAAAAAAAAAAAAAAAAAAAAA
ensembl:lncRNA